rnacentral:snRNA from 1 species
GUGCUCGCUUCAGCAGCACAUAUACUAAAAUUGGAAUGAUACAGAGAUUAGCAUGGCCUCUGCACAAGUGUGACAUGAAAAUUCGUGAGGAGUUCCAUAUUUAA